rnacentral:rRNA from 1 species
GGCGGCGAGUGGCGAACGGGAGAGAAAUGCAUCCGAACGUGCCCAGGAGGGGGAGAUAACCCAUCGAAAGGUGCGCUAAUCCCGCAUACUACCUAAGGGUGAAAGCGGGGGACCGUAAGGCCUCGCGCUAUUGGAGCGGCCGAUGUCUGAUUAGCUAGUUGGUGGGGUAAAAGCCUACCAAGGCGACGAUCAGUAGCUGGUCUGAGAGGACGAUCAGCCACACUGGGACUGACACACGGCCCACACUCCUACGGGAGGCAGGAGUGGGGAAUUUUGGACAAUGGGCGAAAGCCUGAUCCAGCUAUGCCGCGUGUGCAAAGAAGGCCUUCGGGUUGUAAAGCUUUUUUGUCGGGAAAGAAAUCUUUCGGGCUAAUACCCCUGGAAGGAUGACGGCACCCGAAGAAACAGCACCGGAUAACUACGUGCCAGCCGCCGCGAUAAUACGUGGGGUGCAAGCGUUAAUCGUUAUUACUGGGCGUAAAGCGUGCGCAGGCUGUUUGAUAAAACAGUCAUGACAUCCCCGGGCUCAACCUGGGAACUGCUAUUGUGACUGGCAAGCUAGCAGUACAGAGGAGGGGGGGUGUAUUUCCUGGUGUAGCAAUGAAAUGCUAUGAGAUCAGGAGCAACACCGAUGGAGAAGGCCCCCCCCUGGUCUAGUACUGAUCUCAUGAAGACGCGUGAGCACAAAACAAUAUAGAUACCCUGGUACUCCACCCCCUAAACGAUGU